GAACAAUCCAGAGACGCGGUCGUGAGGAAGCCACGUGUCUACCUCGUUACGUGGCAUCCAACGUGGCAUAUACUACAUCCUUGUAAAUGAUACGCACCAGAUUAAAAUAGUCUUUUUUUCUUUUUUUAUAAUCUAAAGGUCCUCUCUAAAAAUUUACACCACGGCUUCGUUUUAAUUCUCUAACAGGCUCUUCAUUAUCUGUGAUUUGCAUUUUUUGAGUAAUUUUGUUCGUCGAGAUGGCGAUUAAUGGUAACGAAUAGAGGAAGAUAUGAAAAUGGAAGAAUGCAAAGCGACGGCAGUGUAUAUGUGCGGUUAUCUUCCCGGAGUUUCCCCGGAGAAAUCGCCGAUGCUCUCUCUGGUUCCAGUACCUCUU
rnacentral:misc_RNA from 1 species